rnacentral:rRNA from 1 species
UACGUAGGGGGCAAGCGUUGUCCGGAAUCAUUGGGCGUAAAGCGUGCGUAGGCGGCCCGGUAAGUCCGCUGUAAAAGUCCAGGGCUCAACCCUGGAAAGCCGGUGGAUACUGUCGGGCUAGAGUCCGGAAGAGGCGAGUGGAAUUCCUGGUGUAGCGGUGGAAUGCGCAGAUAUCAGGAGGAACACCGAUAGCGAAGGCAGCUCGCUGGGACGGUACUGACGCUGAGGCGCGAAAGCAUGGGGAGCGAACAGG